UACGAAGGGUGCAAGCGUUAAUCGGAAUUACUGGGCGUAAAGCGCGCGUAGGUGGUUCAGUAAGUUGAAGGUGAAAUCCCCGGGCUCAACCUGGGAACUGCCUCCAAAACUGCUGAGCUAGAGUAUGGUAGAGGGUAGUGGAAUUUCCUGUGUAGCGGUGAAAUGCGUAGAUAUAGGAAGGAACACCAGUGGCGAAGGCGACUACCUGGACUAAUACUGACACUGAGGUGCGAAAGCGUGGGGAGCAAACAGG
rnacentral:rRNA from 1 species